rnacentral:rRNA from 1 species
AUGGAUCGAGGUUGGAUGAGUAAACCAAGAUCAACUACUUAUUAUAAAGAAGGUGUCGAGCAAUUUCUAUCUUUUUCCUUCCAUGAUGUUCCACUCGGUGAUAAAAUUAUCUGUCCCUGUGUAAAUUGUGGAAAUAAGGCAAUGCAGAAUUGCGACGAAGUGAAAACCCACCUAAGAUGUGAUGGUAUUCUUCAGGGUUAUACAAAAUGGGUUUGCCAUGGAGAAGAGUAUGAUUCACCGUCAUUUGCAUUUGCUCCCAUGUCAAAUAACAACAACAAUUUUCAUAUUCCGGGUUUUCCAGUGAAUUCUGAUGUAGAAGGCAGUAAGAGAUUGCAUGACAUUUCUGGGCUCUUAAGUGCCAUUUUCCCCAUGGCUGACUGCUUCCAAUCACUAUCAAACGCAUCUGAUGGGGAACUAGAUGGUGUUCAGUCUGAAUCUGAGAACUUGGAACCUGGUAUGGCUGAGAAUGUCAAUACAACAUCUGCACAUGAUGAUGCAAUGAGAGAACAAGACAUAUACGCUAGUUUCCUCGAGGAACCAAACAUAGAUUUAUACCCUGGAUGUGCAACAUAUUCGAGGUUGUCAUUUCUUGUCACUUUAUAUCACAUGAAAGUCUUGCAUGGAUGGUCACAGGAAUCAUUCACACAGCUACUUGGUGUAUUAUCGGUUGCAUUUCCUCAGAUAAACCUACCCAAGAAAUAUUAUGAGGUGAAAAAAAUCAUACGCGGAUUAGGGCUGGACUAUGAGAAAAUUCAUGCAUGCCCAAGAGACUGCAUGCUUUUUAGAGGCGAAAGAGCUAACCAGGAGUCUUGCCAUGUGUGUGGUGCCUCUCAUUGGGUUACCAAUGAAAAUGAGAAGAAAGAUUCGGCAAAUGAAUCUAAAAAGAAGAAGAAGAAGAAGAAACCAGCCAAGGUGUUGCGAUAUUUCCCAUUGAUUCCAAGGCUCCAAAGGUUAUUUGCAACCAAGAAGACAUCAACUGACAUGCGUUGGCAUGAUGAGGGUCGUACAAAAGAUGGAUUGCUGCGAUGUCCAGCUGAUGGAGAGGGUUGGAAAGAUCUUGAUGGCAGAUAUCCUAAAUUCGCCAAGGAUUCCCGUAAUACGCGGCUAGGCGUUGGGUCUGAUGGGUUUAAUCCUUUCCGACUCAUGAGUGCAAAACAUAGUACUUGGCCAGUGAUGCUUAUUCCAUACAACCUACCACCUUGGAUCUGCAUGAAGCAAACAUCUCUAAUUUUAUCAAUGAUUAUUCCU